UACGGAGGGAGCUAGCGUUGUUCGGAAUUACUGGGCGUAAAGCGUACGUAGGCGGUUAUUCAAGUCAGAGGUGAAAGCCCGGGGCUCAACCCCGGAACUGCCUUUGAAACUAGAUAGCUAGAAUCUUGGAGAGGUCAGUGGAAUUCCGAGUGUAGAGGUGAAAUUGUAGAUAUUCGGAAGAACAUCAGUGGCGAAGGCGACUGACUGGACAAGCAUUGACGCUGAG
rnacentral:rRNA from 1 species